UCGCCUGUUUAUCAAAAACAUGGUUUCUUGGUAUAUUUAAGAGAUCUAACCUGCCCACUGAAAAUUUUUUGAAGGGCCGCGGUAUAUUGACUGUGCGAAGGUAGCAUAAUCAUUAGUCUUUUAAUUAAAGGCUUGUAUGAAUGGUUGAAUGAGGUGAAUUCUGUUUUAUGUUUAUUAAAUUGAAUUUAGAUUUUAAGUAAAAAGACUUAAAUGUUAUUAAGGGACGAGAAGACCCUAUAGAGUUUAAUAAAUGUAUAGAUUAUUUGGGUUAAUAAGUAAUUUAAGUUAUUGUAAAAUUUAUUUAAUUGGGGUGAUUAAAAGAUAAGUGAAACUCUUUUUAAGAUUUAAUAUAAUAAUUAGUUGAAUGAUCCAUUGAUAAUGAUUAAAAGAUUAAAUUACCUUAGGGAUAACAGCAUAAUUUUUUUUAAGAGUUCUUAUUGAAAGGAAAGAUUGUGACCUCGAUGUUGGAUUAAGAUUAGUUAUGGGUGUAGAUGUUCAUAGACUAGGUCUGUUCGACCUUUAAAAUCUUACAUGAUCUGAGUUCAAACCGGAGA
rnacentral:rRNA from 1 species